rnacentral:rRNA from 1 species
GAUUUCUGGUCGGAUCGGUUUAGCCCGCCAUGGUUUCAUGUGUGAGUGCUGAUACUCAUCUACCUUCCUUCUAGACAUCUUAACAUCUCUUCAUUGAGGUGGAUAAGAGGCUAGAUCUUUUACUUUGAAAAAAUUAGAGUGUUUCAAGCAGGCUUUUGCUAUGAAUACAUUAGCAUGGAAUAAUAACUUAGGGCUUCGGCUUUAUUUUGUUGGUUUCUAGAGCUGAAGUAAUGAUUGAUAGGGAUAGUUGGGGGUGCUAGUAUUCAGUGGCCAGAGGUGAAAUUCUCGGAUUCCCUGAAGACUAACUUAUGCGAAAGCAUU